CCUACGGGUGGCAGCAGUGGGGAAUAUUGGACAAUGGGCGAAAGCCUGAUCCAGCCAUGCCGCGUGUGUGAAGAAGGCCUUCGGGUUGUAAAGCACUUUCAGUGGGGAAGAAAGCCUUGGGGCUAAUACCCUCGAGGAAGGACAUCACCCACAGAAGAAGCACCGGCUAACUCCGGGCCAGCAGCCGCGGUAAUACGGAGGGUGCGAGCGUUAAUCGGAAUUACUGGGCGUAAAGCGCGCGUAGGCGGUCUGAUAAGCCGGUUGUGAAAGCCCCGGGCUCAACCUGGGAACGGCAUCCGGAACUGUCAGGCUAGAGUGCAGGAGAGGAAGGUAGAAUUCCCGGUGUAGCGGUGAAAUGCGUAGAGAUCGGGAGGAAUACCAGUGGCGAAGGCGGCCUUCUGGACUGACACUGACGCUGAGGUGCGAAAGCGUGGGUAGCAAACAGGAUUAGAUACCCGGGUAGUC
rnacentral:rRNA from 1 species